rnacentral:rRNA from 1 species
UACAGAGGGUGCUAGCGUUGUUCGGAAUCAUUGGGCGUAAAGGGCGUGUAGGCGGUUUGCUAAGUCAUGUGUGAAAUCCCUCGGCUUAACCGGGGAACGACGCAUGAAACUGGCAAGCUAGAGUACCAAAGAGGGGGGUGGAAUUCCCGGUGGAGCGGUGAAAUGCGUAGAGAUCGGGAAGAACGCCGGCGGCGAAAGCGACUCUCUGGUCGGACCCUGACGCUGAGGCGCGAAAGCUAGGGGAGCAAACGGG